rnacentral:rRNA from 1 species
UACGUAGGGUGCGAGCGUUGUCCGGAAUUAUUGGGCGUAAAGAGCUCGUAGGCGGUGUGUCACGUCGGCCGUGAAAACCUGCAGCUUAACUGUGGGCGUGCGGUCGAUACGGGCAUCACUGGAGUUCGGCAGGGGAGACUGGAAUUCCUGGUGUAGAGGUGAAAUUCGUAGAUAUCGAGAGGAACACCUGUGGCGAAGGCGGCCAACUGGACGAACACUGACGCUGAGACACGAAAGCGUGGGGAGCAAACAGG